AUUGAACGCUGGCGGCAGGCCUAACACAUGCAAGUCGAGCGCGCGGCGGACGGGUGAGUAAUGUAUGGGGACUGCCCGAUAGAGGGGGAUAACUACUGGAAACGGUGGCUAAUCCCGCAUACUAUCGGAUAACCCAUAUGGAAUUAGCUAGUAGGUGUGGUAAAGGCUCACCUCGGCGACGAUCUCUCGCUGGUCUGAGAGGAUGAUCGACUACCUUGGGACUGAGAAACGGCCCAGACUCCCAGGGAGUCAGCAGUGGGGUAUAUUGCACAAUGGGCGCAAGCCUGAUGCAGCCAUGCCGCGUGUAUGAAGAAGGCCUUAGGGUUGUAAAGUACUUUCAGCGGGGAGGCGUUACCCGCAGAAGAAGCACCGGCUAACUCCGUGCCAGCAGCUGCGGUAAUUC
rnacentral:rRNA from 1 species